ACGNGNNNCNNGGCUUGGGCUAAAGUUUGAUCAUGGCUCAGAACAAACGCUGGCGGCGUGCCUAAUACAUGCAAGUCGAACGGGGAAAGUCCUUCGGGGCGAGUACUAGUGGCGCACGGGUGAGUAACGCGUGGAUAAUCUGCCUUCAACUGGGGAAUAACUAACCGAAAGGUUAGCUAAUACCGCAUGAGACCACAGUAGCUGCGGCUACAGAGGUUAAAGUUUUUCGGUUGAAGAUGAGUCCGCGUCAGAUUAGCUUGUUGGUGGGGUAAUGGCCUACCAAGGCUCCGAUCUGUAGCUGGUCUGAGAGGAUGACCAGUCACACUGGGACUGAGACACGGCCCAGACUCCUACGGGAGGCAGCAGUAGGGAAUCUUGCGCAAUGGGGGAAACCCUGACGCAGCGACGCCGCGUGGGUGAUGAAGGUUUUCGGAUCGUAAAACCCUGUCGUAGGGGACUAAAAAAAUGAAGGUACCCUACAAGAAAGGACCGGCUAACUUCGUGCCAGCAGCCGCGGUAAUACGAGGGGUCCUAGCGUUGUUCGGAAUCAUUGGGCGUAAAGCGGGUGUAGGCGGAUUCGUAAGUCAGAAGUGAAAGCCCUGGGCUCAACCCAGGAAGUGCUUUUGAAACUACGGAUCUUGAGUAUGGUAGAGGCUAGUGGAAUUCCUGGUGUAGUGGUGAAAUACGUAGAUAUCAGGAGGAACAUCGGUGGCGAAGGCGGCUAGCUGGACCAAUACUGACGCUCAGACCCGAAAGCGUGGGGAGCAAACAGGAUUAGAUACCCUGGUAGUCCACGCCGUAAACGAUGGACACUUGGUGUUGGAGGUAUUGACCCCUUCAUGCCGGAGCUAACGCGUUAAGUGUCCCGCCUGGGAGUACGGCGCAAGGUUAAAACUCAAGAAUUGACGGGGGCCCGCACAAGCGGUGGAGCAUGUGGUUUA
rnacentral:rRNA from 1 species